AGUCAUACGCUCGUCUCAAAGAUUAAGCCAUGCGUGUGUAAGUAUAAAUAAUUCUACUUUGAAACUGCGAAUGGCUCAUUAUAUCAGUUAUAGUUUAUUAGAAAUAAUUUACUACUUGGAUAACCGUAGUAAUUCUAGGGCUAAUACAUGAGUAAAUCCUCGACUUUGAAGAGGUGUGUUUAUUAGUAUGAAAACCAUAUGCUUUUGCAUAAUAGUGAGUAAUAAUAACCUUUCAUAUCGUAUGUUGUAAUAACGAUAGUUCUUUCAAGUUUCUGCCCUAUCAGCUUUCGAUGGUAGUGCAUUGGACUACCAUGGCAGUAACGGGUAACGAAGAAUUUGGGUUCGAUUUCGGAGAGGGAGCCUGAGAGAUGGCUACCACAUCCAAGGAAGGCAGCAGGCGCGUAAAUUACCCAAUCCUGACAUAGGGAGGUAGUGACAAUAAAUCACAAUGCGGGACUUUUAGUUUUGCAAUUGGAUUGAGAACAACGUAAAAGAGUUAUCGAUAAACAAUUGGAGGGCGAGUCUGGUGCCAGCAGCCGUGGUAAUUCCAGCUCCAAUAGCGUAUAUUAA
rnacentral:rRNA from 1 species